ensembl:snRNA U6 U6 spliceosomal RNA
GUGCUCACUUCGGCAGUACAGACACUAAAACUGGAAUGACACAGAGAUUAGCAUGGCCUCUGCACAAGCAUGACAUACAAAUUUGUGAAACAUUCCAUAUUUUA